rnacentral:lncRNA from 1 species
AAAGAGUGAAUUUUGAUGAAAAAAAAUUAAUAUAUUUGAUGUUAGAUAUUAUUAUGUAAGUGUGGGUGUGAAGAAAAGGUAGAAAGAAAAGAGGAAAGAGAGGAAGAAGAAAAAAAAGAAUCCUGAGAGUGAGAGGAAAAAGAAGAAAACGUGGAGAGAGAAAAGGAGGAAAGAGAGAAGAGAGAAAAAAAAAGGAAAAGAAGUGGAGAGAGAAAAAAAGAAAAAAGAAAAAGAAAAAUGAAAAUAAAACCAAGUGGUACUCCACCAAUGGCUAAAGGAGUUUUUUUUAAAUGAUUUUAAAAUAAAAACAAAUGACUUACUGAGUGAAUGGUAAAAAAAUUAAAUAAUUUUAUUCUUACUAUUUAAAUUUUUAAAAAAAUGAAUAAAAUCAAAUUGACAACGUAGAUAAUUCUAAAUAAUU